AGCAGCCGCGGUAAUUCCAGCUCCAAUAGCGUAUAUUAAAGUUGUUGCAGUUAAAAAGCUCGUAGUUGAAUUUCGGGGUCAGCAGGUUGGUCGUGCCUACGGUAUGAACUGGCCUUGCUGAUUCCUCCUUCUUGAUGGGCCGUAAUGCCAUUAAUUUGGUGUUGCGGGGAAUCAGGACUGUUACUUUGAAAAAAUUAGAGUGUUUAAAGCAGGCAAGCGCUUGAAUACAUUAGCAUGGAAUAAUGAAGUAGGACGUUCGAUCCUAUUUUGUUGGUUUCUAGGAUUGACGUAAUGAUUAAUAGGGAUAGUUGGGGGCAUUAGUAUUCAAUUGUCAGAGGUGAAAUUCUUGGAUUUAUUGAAGACUAGCUACUGCGAAAGCAUUUGCCAAGGAUGUUUUCAUUAAUCAAGAACGAAAGUUAGGGGAUCGAAGACGAUCAGAUACCGUCGUAGUCUUAACCAUAAACUAUGCCGACUAGGGAUCGGAUGAUGUUAAUUUUUUAAUGACUCAUUCGGCG
rnacentral:sRNA from 1 species